rnacentral:rRNA from 1 species
UACGAAGGGGGCUAGCGUUGUUCGGAAUUACUGGGCGUAAAGCGCGCGCAGGCGGCCUUCCAAGUCAGUGGUGAAAGCCCGGAGCUCAACUCCGGAACUGCCAUUGAAACUGUUAGGCUUGAGGAUGAGAGAGGUGAGUGGAAUUCCCAGUGUAGAGGUGAAAUUCGUAGAUAUGUGGAGGAACACCAGUGGCGAAGGCGACUCUCUGGGCUGUAACUGACGCUGAGGCGCGAAAGCGUGGGGAGCAAACAGG